UUUUGAGCCAUGUGUUAAGAGUUGUGUUGCUUGGAAUGAGUUUUGCAGGUGAUGUGAACUGUUUAGCUCAGGUGACUGUUGGUAGUGCAGACUGUGGUUAGAGUUUUGCACAUGUGACUCCAGUUGUGCCCGCUGUCGUUUAGCAAUCGAAAAAAACUGUAAUUAUCACAGACAAAGUGUCACAAAGUGCAGUGCAGUGGUCAAAUAAAAGACAUUGGCAAUAACAGGGGCCAAAACAUUCCAACAGUUAAAAGAGCAAAGUACAAAACACUGUAAAAGAUGGUGCAGUAAAAAACUCAAUAAAACAAAUAAGAAAAAUAAACAAAAAAAGAUUUUUUUAAAGCAGGCCGUAGAAUAUGUAAUUUAACCGAAUGCCAGUGUAAACAGGGAUAUGUUUACACUGGAGAGGAGGAUCUAGUAUGUGUAUAUCUUUUUAUUCAAACUGGGAACAAAAAUUACAAAGUGCUUCGAGCUGGUUUUGUAUAAUUCAUAAGUAUUCAUUCACAUAUACACUCCCCCAAAAGAGUGAAAACGAAGAAUUUGGUUAAACAUUAAAAGUCUAAUUUGUUCUCUUUUUGCUGUAACUGUCACUUCCUUUGCGUUGUGAAGCUUUAUUCACAGCAUGGCCCAGAACCUCAAGGAGAGACGUCUGCAUUGUUCUUUUCUGUUCUCUCUCUCAAAUAAACGUAAACAACCUCCACGCCAGUCGGCUUUUCCAACACAGCCAAACGCGUCUUAUGGAUCUGAAUUAGUCCGGCAGCUCUGAUUGUUAUUCAGGACACAAACGUCCUCCUCCAGGCGGAGUUGGUGCACAACGUUCCUGUGGAUGAAUCAGGAGGGAGGAACGCCGCCGGAGAACAAAGCACAGCGUCUGUGGGUUUGAACCUCUCCGGGCCUCUGGCUGUGUCGACUUCAUCCCUCACCGUCAGAGACGUGCACGUGAAGUGGAAAGGGGGAACACCAAAUCUCCUUCUUGAAUGCGGUUGUCUAAACGCGUGUUGGCCCUCACACGGCCUGUCAUCAGCCGGAUAACCAAGUGAUGGAUGCUUGCCCUGAAUGUUUAAGACAAGGCGGGAAAAUGAAACACUGGCUCCUCCAGGGAGGUAACUUCACUACUUCUCGAGGGCCCUUGGAAAAGGAAGGAGAGCACGUGGGAGUUGUCUUGAUCUUUGUAAUGCAGUCAAGCUGUAGGCCUGUCAAGCCAAGAAACAAAAUAAACACAGAUAAUUAGA